CAGGGAGACAACAACUGAUCGUGAUGUCUGAGUACUUUAUUCUCAGGCCAUGAUCCUGUCAUCUUGAAGGUCGAUCGGUACCUCAACUUCAAGGUUGAGAUGAAUGGGAUGCCUAGGUAAGCCAUUCAUGCUUGAUUUUUGAUGUUCUGUUCCUAAACGUUGUCUAGGUCACCCCAUAGAGGGUUCACUUCCUGGGCCAUUAGCUCAGGUGGUUAGAGCGCACCCCUGAUAAGGGUGAGGUCCCUGGUUCAAGUCCAGGAUGGCCCAUGCCAAGGUCCAGUAAUGGAUCAUUUGGGGGUUUAGCUCAGUUGGUAGAGCGCCUGCUUUGCAAGCAGGAUGUCAGCGGUUCGAGUCCGCUAACCUCCACUAACAUCUGAACUCCACAAGCAGGAAGCAAUUCUUGUGUGGUGACAUAGACGUUGUUCGCUGAUGAAACAAGCUUGAGUGAUCAAGCAGAGUUCAGCCUCAGAUCAUUCCCCAGUCUUUGAUCGAUUGAUCAAGAGCGAGAUGGUUGAUCUGAUGCUGGAUUCAGCGAAGAAGCCUCGCGAGGGGCUUUUUCAAUGAAGUUCAGCAGAACCUUGACAACUGCAUAGGUGAGUCUGGAAAGACAAAGCAUCUCAUAGAGGCGAGAUGACAGACGCUGCAAAGCUGAUGUUAUGUCGUGAUUCUAUUUUUGAGAGCCGAGACCUUCUAGCGUUCUUCCCAAUCCGCCGAGGUGCGGGGAGUUUGAUCCUUGCUUGCUAGUCCUUCUAGCUUUUGAUCGGGAAACCAAUCAAAAGCAACUGUGCUGCCAAGCUUGAGAGAAUGGGCCUCAACAGCCUGAAGCGAUAGGAGGAUACAUUU
rnacentral:tRNA from 1 species